GCAGCAGGCGCGCAAAUUACCCACUCCCAGCACGGGGAGGUAGUGACGAAAAAUAACGAUACGGGACUCAUCCGAGGCCCCGUAAUCGGAAUGAGUACACUUUAAAACUUUUCCCGAGGAUCAAUUGGAGGGUAAGUCUGGUGCCAGCAGCCGCGGUAAUUCCAGCUCCAAUAGCGUAUAUUAAAGUUGUUGCGGUUAAAAAGCUCGUAGUCGAAUCUGUGUCCCGCGCCGCUGGUUCAUCGCUCGCGGUGUUCAACUGGCGUGUCUCGCGGGACGUCCUGCCGGUGGGCGCUCGUAUCGUUUCGGCGGUGCGUGGCCCAACUCGUAGCCGUCUCGCGCGGUUGCGAAUCCCAUCGCGGUGCUCUUUAUUGAGUGUCGAGGUGGGCCGGCACGUUUACUUUGAACAAAUUAGAGUGCUUAAAGCAGGCCAAUUUUGCCUGAAUAUUGUGUGCAUGGAAUAAUGGAAUAGGACCUCGGUUCUAUUUUGUUGGUUUUCGGAACCCCGAGGUAAUGAUUAAUAGGAACGGAUGGGGGCAUUCGUAUUGCGACGUUAGAGGUGAAAUUCUUGGAUCGUCGCAAGACGGACAGAAGCGAAAGCAUUUGCCAAAAACGCUUUCAUUGAUCAAGAACGAAAGUUAGAGGUUCGAAGGCGAUCAGAUACCGCCCUAGUUCUAACCAUAAACGAUGCCAGCUAGCGAUCCGCCGACGUUCCUCCGAUGACUCGGCGGGCAGCUUCCGGGAAACCAAAGCUUUUGGGUUCCGGGGGAAGUAUGGUUGCAAAGCUGAAACUUAAAGGAAUUGACGGAAGGGCACCACCAGGAGUGGAGCCUGCGGCUUAAUUUGACUCAACACGGGACACCUUACCAGGCCCGGACACCGGAAGGAUUGACAGAUUGAGAGCUCUUUCUUGAUUCGGUGGGUGGUGGUGCAUGGCCGUUCUUAGUUG
rnacentral:rRNA from 1 species